AGAACGAACGCUGGCGGCAGGCCUAACACAUGCAAGUCGAGCGCUGUAGCAAUACAGAGCGGCGCACGGGAGAGUAAUACGUGGGAACCUACCCUUUGGUUCGGAAUAACGUCGGGAAACUGACGCUAAUACCGAAUAAGCCCUUCGGGGGAAAGAUUUAUUGCCGAAGGAUGGGCCCAUGUUGGAUUAGCUAGUUGGUGAGGUAACGGCUCACCAAGGCUACGAUCCAUAGCUGGUCUGAGAGGAUGAUCAGCCUCACUGGGACUGAGACACGGCCCAGACUCCUACGGGAGGCAGCAGUGGGGAAUAUUGGACAAUGGGGGCAACCCUGAUCCAGCCAUGCCGCGUGAGUGAUGAAGGCCUUCGGGUUGUAAAGCUCGUUUUGGCGGGGACGAUGAUGACGGUACCGCAGAAUAAGCCCCGGCUAACUUCGUGCCAGCAGCCGC
rnacentral:rRNA from 1 species